rnacentral:snoRNA from 1 species
AUCCCAUGAUGAGGACUGGCGGCGACGUACUCCUGCAGUCUUUCCCAUGCCUCGGGGAAGGACUCAUCCCUUGUCUGCUGGAAGCUUGAAAUUCUCCCAUGAAGGGC